rnacentral:lncRNA from 1 species
AAAAACUGAGUGUUAAAUUCCCAUUAGCAAUUUAAAUUGAUUGCAUGUUGAAAUGAUAUUAUUUGGGAUAUACUGAGUUAAAUAAUCUAUUAUCAAGAUUAAUUUCUCACAUUUCUUAUGAUGUCAUUUAAGCUGCCCAGCAACCCUAUAUGAAGCAGAUAUUAUUUCUAGCUUAUCUCCAUUUAACUGGUAGAGAAGGGGCUCACAGUGGUAAAAUGACUUUCCGAAGGUCACGCGAUUUAGGGAGGGGAAUUGAUUUGCCCAAGAACAGACAACUAGACCAUCAGAGAAUGAUCACUGAUCAUUUGGUUUGGAAAUGGGGGUCUUUGAAGAACAGGUACCUUUCUCUUUCCUCAGUGUGUAUUAAUCUUCUCCACAGAGGGCUCCAGAGUAUGUCAGAAGGAUGACAUGUUACCAAUCAUGAAUCAGUUUUAGAGAGCGGGGCAAAUACAUUCUAAAAGCCAACCACUCAUACCUGUGUCAGGGGACAGCUGGUUGUCCCCACAGAGCUGCUCUCCCCUUCCUCCUUAGCAGUAGAGCUUCUGGUGUUGCGCUGGGUUCAUGGCUGCUGGAAAUGAAGUCGCCUUGCCUGGCCUUCGUUAUGGCUGCAUGUUGCUGAGUAACUAAGUUCUGGUCCACGGGAUGGGGUGUAAGCAGAAGAGGCACGUGAGACUUCUGGGAAGUGGCCUUAACUGCGGGAGACAUGGCCUCCCUCCUGCUCUUUCUCUGUCUUGUUGGGGGUGCAGCCAGCCUGGGCCAGAAGGUGGAAACCCCAGGUAGAGGAUGGCCUUUUGCCACCGUGGUGGGCAUCACCUCCCUCUGGGCUUCUUUUAUGUGUGAAAGAAUUAAACCUCACGGGGACCAUGAGAUUUCUGUCACAUACAGCUGACCUUAAUCCUAACACCACGUAUCAAAAAUUUCCUCCAAAUAUGUCAAAAAUGAGAUGGCUAUAGUGGAAUGAUCCUUGGAGUCAGAAAGGCCCAAGUUGAAUUCCUCUUAGGAUGUGUAAGCUUCAAAAAUUUGUAUGAGUCUAUAUUUCAAAUCGAAGAAUUUUAUUUUUGAAAAAGAAAUAUAUGCAAAGGAUUACAAUUAUUUCAAACAGCUUUUUUGUCUUUUUAGGGUUGCACCUAUGUCAUAUGGAAGUUCCCAGGCUAGGGGUCGAAUCAGCUGUACCUCCCAGCCUACACCACAGCUCAUGGUAAUGCUGGAUCCUUAACCCACUGAGUGAGGCCAGGGAUUGAACCCGUCUCCUUACAGAUACUAGUCAGAUUCGAUACUACUGAGCCACAGUGGGAACUCCUCAAAAAUAAACUUUGUAUUUUAUGUGAUGAAAAGUUAUUUAACCUCUCUGUGACUCUGUUUCUUCCACUGUAAAAUGGGACUAAUAAUACUGAAAUAAGUGUGUGUGUGUGUGUGUACCUGUGUGUAUGGGAAGGCAUGGCAACUAGCACAGGGCUGGCUGCACACAAUAAGCACUCAUUAACUCUUGCUUUCUGUUUCACUGCCUGAUAUGAGUCAGACACAACACGGAGAGCUGAAGGUGUACAAGAAUAGUUCCUUGUCUUCACGAAGAUCAGUAGAAUUGAGUAGAUGAGCUAUGUAGGAAAACAUAACACCCAAGAAGAUGAGGGCCCCAAAGAGGUACAAGGAACGUGCUAAAUAAGAAGUAAUCUCGUGGAGUGCCUUUGGAGUCAGGUAGAGAUUUGCAGUCUCUUGAGGUUGGGAGUGUGGGCGGGUUAGCUCCUCUUUCUGAGUCUCAGUUUCCACUUCUCUAAGAGCGGAAUCCUAUUGUUCAUGACCAUGUAAGAUUGUUGGAAGAAUCAAAUGAAAGAAAGCAUAUUAAAGUACUAAGCACUAUGACUUGGCCCAAAGGCCAAUAAACAUAAUUAAUAUGAUCAUUUUGGGGCUGAGGAGAUCAGGAUCUGCUUUCUAAAGGAGGUGGCUUUUAAGCUCAGAUUUGAAGGAGGCGUGAAACAAGCGAAGGGCCCUCAAGGUGACAGCAAGUGUAUUUACCAGGUCGAGAAGAACAACAGGGAAAAGGCAACUCUAAGGAAGAAUGACACAUACACUGGGCUAAAGUGAGGGAUCUGGGGGAGCAUAGGCAGGAAGGAGACUGGGAAGGAAGGCUGAGGUGUGAUGGAGAGGUGAAUGCUAAGCCAGGCAUGUUGACUUCAUUCCCUACCUCCUAGGGAGCUUUUAAAAAAUUUUUGAACAUAAACACAAUAUAUUCAUUAUGUGUGAUUGACUUAAUUUCUUAGAGGAAGGUCAAUAAAGCAGGGCUGGCAGGAGUUUUCUGGUGGCCCAGUGGUUUAUGGAUUGGGCAUUGUCACUGCUGUGGCUUGGGUUUGAUCCCUGGUCCCAAACUUCUGUAUGCUGUGGGAACAGCCAAAAAAAAGGGCAUGAGUCAAGGUGUUGGCCUUGAAAAUGGGGGGGAAGGGAGGCCUCUGAGUUAGAGGCAGCUGGGCACAGCGCCUGGCUAGGUGUUGCCUUUCAGACACUCUUGCAAGAGAGGGGAGUGGACCCAGUGUGACAUCUGCGUACUCACCCCAUCAUCACCCCCAAAUGAGGGAUUUCCCAGGCAAUGUACUUAGUGGCCUGAGGGAUCCCUGGGCACACCGGUCCAGCAGGAUAGCUCUGCUUUCUCCUCAAGUCCCAGCUUCACCUCCACCCAGGACUCAGCAGAGAGGCUGAUGGGAUUGGCUCCAUGACCCAAGGAGAAGGGUGAGUCAUGUUCAGCAGAGCAGUGCCUUCCUACCUUCCUACCUAAGCCAGUGGCCUGGGUUGUGAAUCUAGUAGAAAGGUCAUCAGAACAGGUCUGAGAGGCUCCAGUCAUUGGCUGCCAAGCAGCUUGUUGAACCCUGUAUAGUAUUUUCUCUCCACCUAUAAGAUGGGUGUACCUCUCUGAGGUUGGGAAAAUAAAAUCAGAUAAUAAAUUCUUCCGUUGGUUCAUUCAGCCACUGUUGACUGGUCCAUGCUCUGUGUCAAUGUGCUGGGAAGAGGGGAAUGGGUAAGACAUAGGCUCGCGCUCCAGAGGCUUGACUUCUAAUGGAGAAAUAGGGAAAUAAAUAGAAACACUGGCACAGAACUAAACUUUCCAACAGAUACUUUCACAUUUACUAACUCCCUUAAGUCAUCUCAUGGGAGGUGGAAACGAAUUACACCCAUUUGACAGAUGAAGAAACUGAGGGCCAUGAAGGGAUUUGCCCUUCCUGGCAUUCCUACAUUGCAUUGUACGUAAUUCCAUCACAGUCCUUAGCCCUCUCUCUAUUAGGGCUGGAGGUGCACAUGUUGAGCGCCCUCCAUCCCCCCUGCAAACUUUAAGCUCUCUAUGGGCAGGGCUAACUUCUCAUGAGUCUGUUGACCAACUAGCCUCAAGCCCAAGCUUGGCACAUAGUAAUAGAGGAUUGGCAGGCAGAGGGAGUGGUGGGAGGAACGCAGCUCAAAGUUCUGGGGUAUCAGCCAAGUGCGGGCUUGGCUUCUCACCUCUACUACAAAACUUGGGUGCUGUGCAUAUUCACAUAUCUGUUACAUAUGUGCCAGGGGCUGAGAUGAGUUAUGGGAUUUGCCCAAGGUCACUUUGAGAGUAAUCUGAGAAAUUUCAAACUCACACAUGGUGCAGAAAAGAUAAUGUGUAUAUUGGGGUGGGUUGAAGUGGCUGGAGUGUCCAGCAGUCUAAAGCCAGAACUAGAGCAAAUCUCCCGUAAAGCAUUUGGCUGGUCCCUGGAAGCAUCUUUAUCCACCAGAGCCCAAUCCUGCACUUAGGCCUUUACUUGUAUCUGUGUUUCUUUCACUGUACCCUCUCAAGACUGUUGGUGAGUACUUACUGAAUAAAUGCUUGAAUGGGAGAGCAAGGGCAGGCAGAGAUCAUCACAAAUGCUGAACCCUCCCUUUGUGCCAGUGAAAUACUGAUGCCAGUGAAAUUUUGAUGCUUUCUUUUUUCAUCCUCUCAACGUCAUGAUGAAGUAAGCACUCCGAUUGCUCCAGGUUUCAGAGAGAAACUGAGGCUUUAAAAUGUUGGGUCUUAGGAGUUCUCAUCUUGGCUCAGCAGAAACGAAUCUGGCUAGUAUCCAUGAGGAUGUGAGUUCCAUCCCUGGCCCUGCUCAGGGGGUUAAAGAUCCCGCGUUACUGUGAGCUGUGGUGCAGGUUGCAGACUCGGCUCAGGUUUGGUGUUGCUGUGGCUGUGGCAUAGGCCAGCGGCUACAGCUCCAAUUCGACCCCUAUCCUGGGAGCCUCCAUAUGCCGUGGGUGUGGCCCU